GUAUAUCCCCAAAACCUUCAUGGAUUGCCCUCCCCAACACUUCGAGCUAUAGUACCAUCCCUUUUGUUUUUUUUCCCCACAUAGUACCAUUAUUAUUAUUAUUAAUUUUUUUUUUUUUUAAACUUCCAUUUGCUUUCACUUUCUCAUGAAAUCUCACCGCAAGUUUCUCUAAUCUGUGUAAGAAUCACUACAAACAAACAAGCAAAAGCAAAAGUAUGAAGAAUCACCAUUUCUCUCUUAGAGCCCACAUCAUAUAUUUCCUAGUUCUCAUUUUCCUUGUGGUAGUUAUGAUUGGCCUGUCCCCUCGUUUAAGCUUGCAAGAACAAGGUGCCAUAAGAAAAAGACUCAAUGGUCCAAUGCACUUUAAGGAAAGAAAAAAGGUGGACCUGGGAAUGGAACUGUACCCAACCGGGUCGAACUUGCCGGAUUGUUCCCAUGCUUGUGGACCA